GACGAACGCUGGCGGCGUGCCUAAUACAUGCAAGUUGAGCGCUGAAGGUUGGUACUUGUACCAACUGGAUGAGCAGCGAACGGGUGAGUAACGCGUGGGGAAUCUGCCUUUGAGCGGGGGACAACAUUUGGAAACGAAUGCUAAUACCGCAUAAAAACUUUAAACACAAGUUUUAAGUUUGAAAGAUGCAAUUGCAUCACUCAAAGAUGAUCCCGCGUUGUAUUAGCUAGUUGGUGAGGUAAAGGCUCACCAAGGCGAUGAUACAUAGCCGACCUGAGAGGGUGAUCGGCCACAUUGGGACUGAGACACGGCCCAAACUCCUACGGGAGGCAGCAGUAGGGAAUCUUCGGCAAUGGACGAAAGUCUGACCGAGCAACGCCGCGUGAGUGAAGAAGGUUUUCGGAUCGUAAAACUCUGUUGGUAGAGAAGAACGUUGGUGAGAGUGGAAAGCUCAUCAA
rnacentral:rRNA from 1 species